rnacentral:rRNA from 1 species
UGGUGGGUAGUUUGACUGGGGCGGUCUCCUCCCAAAGCGUAACGGAGGAGCACGAAGGUUAGCUAAUCCUGGUCGGACAUCAGGAGGUUAGUGCAAUGGCAUAAGCUAGCUUGACUGCGAGCGUGACGGCGCGAGCAGGUGCGAAAGCAGGUCAUAGUGAUCCGGUGGUUCUGAAUGGAAGGGCCAUCGCUCAACGGAUAAAAGGUACUCCGGGGAUAACAGGCUGAUACCGCCCAAGAGUUCAUAUCGACGGCGGUGUUUGGCACCUCGAUGUCGGCUCAUCACAUCCUGGGGCUGAAGUAGGUCCCAAGGGUAUGGCUGUUCGCCAUUUAAAGUGGUACGCGAGCUGGGUUUAGAACGUCGUGAGACAGUUCGGUCCCUAUCUGCCGUGGGCGCUGGAGAAUUGAGGGGGGCUGCUCCUAGUACGAGAGGACCGGAGUGGACGCAUCACUGGUGUUCGGGUUGUCAUGCCAAUGGCACUGCCCGGUAGCUAAAUGCGGAAGAGAUAAGUGCUGAAAGCAUCUAAGCACGAAACUUGCCCCGAGAUGA